rnacentral:lncRNA from 1 species
CAUUAUCCUUGUUUAUAUUCUGUUAGGGUUAUGCUACCUCCAAAAUUGUUAAGUCCUUGUUCCAAGUGAUUUCUGUCAGGCAUACAUAUGAUGUUCUUUUAUGAUUACCAGUUUAUUAAAGUUUUUUAACCCUUGAGCCAAUUUUUUAAAAUUUAUAUUUUCCUUAAAAAUAUUUCACAUCCUAUGUCGUGGCUUAGGGGUUAACAAUCUCGACUAGUAUCCAUGAGGACAUGGGUUCGAUCCGUGGCCUGGAUCAGUGGGUUAAGGAUCUGGUGUUGCUGUGAGCUAUGGUGUAGGUCAAAGAUGUGGCUUGGAUCCUGCAUUGCUGUGGCUCUGGCACAGGCCGGUGGCUACAGCUCCAACUGGACCCCUAGCCUGGGAACCUCUGUAUGCAGGGGUGUGGCCCUAGAAAUGACAAAAAAAAAAUUGUCCAAGUCAAUUUUCAAGAUUAUUAGUAUAAAAUUACACUAAAUAAUUCACUUCUAUUUUCAAAGUCUCUCAUAUCUGUAAUAUAUUCCCUUUAUUUCCAAUAUUUUCUCUCUUCAGAUUUGCUAUUUAUCUUUCUUUUCAAACACCAAUUACUAUUAUGAUCAAUUUUAUUUUCUAUGUCAUUACCUUCUACUUUUAAGUUCUCUUUAAGUUAAUUUUGGGCGAUUUUUUUCUGCUUCUCUGUGUCUAUUUCCUUUUCUGAUCUUGCCUAUCAAAAGUGUAUCCUUUAAGAAUGUGCUGCCUUAUUACCUCAGGGUGUUUACCCAUAAAACAAAGCAAAAAAAAAAAAAAAAAAAAAAAUAGAGCCUUUACGUUAUUAUCUAAAUUAAGCUUAUUUGCACAUUAGUUAGCACAGAAACAGGCCCAUAUUCGUAACCCAAGAGACAUCUGAUUAAGACAAAGGGCCUCAGUUACCCAGUUUUUAAAAAUGAGGGAACUGGGCUGACUAAUCCCAAAUUCCCUUCCAAAUGAAAAAUUUUACUUCAAUCAGUGCAUCCUGCAGACAAUCAACCCACCCAUUCACCCACACAAUAAUUAGUAAGCCCUUCCCUUGAACUAAGUAUUCUAGAUGUUAGGAAUGCCACGAUGAAUACAAACAUAGUUCCUACCUUCCAGAAGGACAGAAGGGGAUGUAGGUGUGAGGAUCAGCUGUUAAAUAGGUAACUACAAUGCAAAGUGGUAAGUGGUCUAACAAAGGCUGUGGGAAUUCAGAGACGGAGGAGUAUGUACAACAAAACUCCAAGAACUAGGAUGGGGAAGUUCCCUUGUAGUGCAGCCGGUUAAGGAUCUGCUGUUGCCCCAACUGUGGUGUGGGUUUGAUCCCUGGCUGGGGAACUUCCACAUGCCAUUGGUAUGCCCCUCCCACAAAAGGUCUAGUUGGAAACCUAAUUUAGGGACUUACUACUUAGUAGCUGUGUAUGAUCAGGCAAUUAACUUUGGUGCAUCUAUCUGUAGAAAUGAACAGUAAUACUAUCCAGGUAGUUUAUGUUAAAGAUUAGACAAGAAAACACAAAGCAUUUGCCAGACUCAGGAACGCAACAAAUGGAAACUAUUGUUAUAAAAGGCUAAAGAACGGUAUUUGCCGUACUUCAAGAAAGGAAAGGCAGGGGUCAAGGGAAUUUCCCAAAUGUGUUCACAAAACAAAAUUUGUCGGAAGGCAGUAAGGAUGGGAAAAAACAGGGUGAGAGAAGAAUCAAGGUGGGUGAUGCUCUUGGAGGGCAGAGAAUUCUAAUUUCUCUAAUUUCAAUUGCUAGCGCAAAACCUGACCCAUAUACUUGCUAUAAACAUCAAUGGAAGAACAUACCUUAAGCAACAGGGUUGGAGAAAACAAUCUGGGCCAAACUGCUGAAAGUAAACAUUUUAUAGUGAAAGGAACCUUGGAAUCACGACACCUGGUGCGGUCUUUCGACCAAUGACCGGUGUUUUAUACUGGCUUUACAACUUACCUGCUGUUCAGCCUUAGCAAAUUACUGAUACCUUGAAUCUCCUCACCUGUAAAAUGGAGAUUACACCUACCUUACAAAAUUAGUGUGAGAAUUGGUACCAAGCGAUUAUCAACGAGCCUGGCAGUAGUAAAACCCAAUAAUGUUAGCGCUGCAGCUGCUAACUUCUCCUUUAGAGCUGUUUUCCAUACUUAUGAAAUGAAAGGGUAAAGACACAUUUUCUCCAAUGCUCCAACCAGCACUAGAUUUGCGAAGGACGAAAGGCCCCGCCCGGCCAGCGGCACACACACUCAGGUCACCUACGCCGACUGCAGUCCUGAAGCCUCCACCUGCGUCGCCGAGCCAUGGCGGGCCCAGCGGAUGCCUGGCCAUUACACAGAUAGGGUCUAGACAGAACGGGGGUGAAACUGAGUGGAAUUUCACCAAACACGAAUCCACACCACCAUCUCUAGAGGCGAAGCCCCGGAAUAAAAAGGGGAGGGAGCUAAAGCGGAGAAAGCGC